CAAUUAGUCUCUUUCAUCCAUGCCCAAUCAAAUUUCUUCAACCUCCAAUUCCCUUCUGCAAGUUCCGUGACCUAAGCUCUGCACACCUCCCAUGAACAUUUGAAUUUCAAAAUCAAAAUUUUGAAGCUCUUUAAUCUGCCCAACCACUUUAACCAGCUUAUUCACAUCUGCCAUAUGAGAAAUUUCUUCUUCAACCAGCUUUAUUCAUCUCUUCCACGACCUCCUCCCUCACCCAGCUUCCCCACGUCAAUAACUCACCUCCUCCUUUCUCCGACCUCCUCGAGACCCAUCUCCAGCCGCCCCAUCCUUUUCUCCCUCACGCCUCAAACAUUGAUUUCUCCGCCCCAGAACAAGAUGCAUUUGAGGCUCCUGCUUGCGUAUUCUCUCUCCCCCUUUUUCUCAACUUUUCUGCCCCAAUCCUCAUUGUAGAUCUUCAAGAAAAGUCCACCAGAUCAGUGCUCGCUGGAGUUAUUGCUGGGAAUCGCCUCCUUAACCCAGAACAAGAUGCAUUUGAGGCACUGAGAAAGCUAAAGCCUAAAUGUAAGAGUUUUAUGGUGGUCCUCAAGGAGGAACAUUGAGUUCAUGGUGGUCAGAUUAAUUUCUAUUGCAUAAUGUCCAUUCUCUGUUAUUUUAUCCAGGGUUCCUUUUGUCAAAAACUCAUUUUAGUUUGUAUUUUUCUUUCACGUGAUGUGGAGAUUGGCUAAACAGUAAGAAAUGAUACAUGCUUUGGGUGAAGCAGUUGUUGGGAGAGAGGAGGAGUAGAUGAAGAACGUUGUAGCAGAGGGAAGGAACCGCAUUUCAUGAAAAAGACCUCUUUUCACUGUUUUGGCUACGAUUUUUGUGAGGAUUCUCAUGAUCCUGGACAAGAAUUAAAAAGAAGAGAUUCUGUGACAGCUUAUAUGGGGAAAUGUUUCCAGGGUAUCUACCUCUGCUCUUUGGAUUCCCUCGAGUUUCAAUCCCAAUUAACUUUCAAUUGUAUGUCUUCUAUAUAUAUAAAUCCUACACUGCUUUUCUGUUACGUCCCUUAAAGUGCUGUGAUUGAUAAUGGCCAAGGACUUGAACGAUACAUGGAUAAAUUGUUGCUCCAAUUAAUUGCAAUCCAAAUGACACCUUUCAGGUGAAGGGUGGUUUGUGGGAAAAUAUUGGAUUGGUUAAGGACUUGAACGAUACAUGGAUAAAUUGUUGCUCCAAUUGUGAUGCUCCAAUUAAUUGCAAUCCAAAUGACACCUUUCAGGUGAAGGGUGGUUUGUGGGAAAAUAUUGGAUUGGUUAGGGAUUUUAUUUUUUCCAUUUUGAAGUACCAUUUUUUCAUGGAUUGCUUACAUCUCCCCCUUGGUGAUACUGGGUUGAUCUUCUGAUUGAUCUCUUAAUGUUUCGAGUUCUUUCAAAUGCUGCAAGAAAUAUUCUUUUUUCUUUAUGUGUUUGUUUUUCAUUUUUUAUAAUCAUUUAGGAAAGAAUUGUCUCAAGAUAGAAAAAUACCCAAGAAAGUGGAUCAUUCCAAAUGUGUAUGCUGUUGUAGUAUGAAAUACACUGAGUUGUUAGUUUUUAUUAUUUA